ensembl:misc_RNA Y_RNA Y RNA
GGCUGGUCUGAAGGUAGUGAGUUAUCUCAUUUGAUUGUUCACACACAUUACAGAUCAAACACCUUAUUCUAUUCUUUCCCCCCUUCUCACUACUGCACUUGGCUAGUCUUAA